UUCCGGUUGAUCCUGCCGGACCUGACUGCUAUCGGAUUGAUACUAAGCCAUGCUAGUCUUUGCAGUAAUGCAAGGCAUACGGCUCAGUAACACGUAGUCAACUUACCCUAUGGACGAGGAUAAUCUCGGGAAACUGAGCAUAAUACUCGAUAGAUCAUAAUGCCUGGAAUGGUUUAUGGUUAAAAUGAUUCGUCGCCAUAGGAUGGGACUGCGGCCUAUCAGCUUGUUGGUGAGGUAAUGGCCCACCAAGGCGAUUACAGGUACGGGCUCUGAGAGGAGAAGCCCGGAGAUGGGUACUGAGACAAGGACCCAGGCCCUAUGGGGCGCAGCAGGCGAGAAAACUUUGCAAUGUGCGAAAGCACGACAAGGUUAAUCCGAGUGAUUUCUGCUAAAGAAAUCUUUUGCAAGUCAUAAAACCACUAGUGAAUAAGGGGUGGGCAAGUUCUGGUGUCAGCCGCCGCGGUAAAACCAGCACCUCAAGUGGUCAGGAGGAUUAUUGGGCCUAAAGCAUCCGUAGCCGGCUCUGUAAGUUUUCGGUUAAAUCCAUGUGCUCAACGCAUGGGCUGCCGAAAAUACUGCAUAGCUAGGGAGUGGGAGAGGUAGACGGUACUCGGUAGGAAGGGGUAAAAUCCUUUGAUCUAUCGAUGACCACCUGUGGCGAAGGCGGUCUACCAGAACACGUUCGACGGUGAGGGAUGAAAGCUGGGGGAGCAAACCGGAUUAGAUACCCGGGUAGUCCCAGCUGUAAACGAUGCAGACUCGAUGAUGCAUUGGCAUAUAGCCAGUGCAGUGUCGCAGGGAAGCCGUUAAGUCUGCCGCCUGGGAAGUACGUACGCAAGUAUGAAACUUAAAGGAAUUGGCGGGGGAGCACCACAAGGGGUGAAGCCUGCGGUUCAAUUGGAGUCAACGCCGGG
rnacentral:rRNA from 1 species